UAUGACCAUAUCGUGUUGAAACACUCGUUCCCGUAUGAUCGUUUAAGCAAUGGCGAGCCUGGUCAGUACCGAGAUGGGUGACCGCUUGGGAAUACCAGGUGCUGUAA